ACUCAGGAAGAUUUGAAUUCAAAUCUGGCCUCAGAAGUGUACUAGCUGUGUGUCCCUGGGCAAGUCACUUAACCUACAUCUGUUUCAGUUUCUUCAACUGUAAAAUAGGGAUAAUAGUACCUACUUCUUAAGAGUUGUGAGGAUCAAAU
rnacentral:snoRNA from 1 species